AACGAACGCUGGCGGCAUGCCUAACACAUGCAAGUCGAACGAGACCUUCGGGUCUAGUGGCGCACGGGUGCGUAACGCGUGGGAACCUGCCCUUAGGUUCGGAAUAACUCCCGAAAGGGGUGCUAAUACCGGAUAAUGUCUUCGGACCAAAGAUUUAUCGCCUUUGGAUGGGCCCGCGUUGGAUUAGCUAGUUGGUAGGGUAAAAGCCUACCAAGGCGACGAUCCAUAGCUGGUCUGAGAGGAGGAUCAGCCACACUGGGACUGAGACACGGCCCAGACUCCUACGGGAGGCAGCAGUGGGGAAUAUUGGACAAUGGGCGAAAGCCUGAUCCAGCAAUGCCGCGUGAGUGAUGAAGGCCUUAGGGUUGUAAAGCUCUUUUACCCGGGAUGAUAAUGACAGUACCGGGAGAAUAAGCUCCGGCUAACUCCGUG
rnacentral:rRNA from 1 species